rnacentral:rRNA from 1 species
UAGUCAUAUGCUUGCGUCAAAGAUUAAGCCAUGCAUGUCUAAGUACAGGUUGCAUAACCGAAACUGCGGAUGGCUCAUUAUAACAGUUAUUAUUGAAAUAGUGGAUAAAAGUUGAAAAGGAGCAAGAAUCCUUGAAACGAAUACAAUGGAUAACCCUGCUAAUCGUAGAGCUAAUACAUAAAAGCGAGCACUCGAAGGUUGGAGGUCGUCUUGAGCUGGCAUGACUGGGGAGCACAAAGCCCAAACUUCGGCAACCCAAAGCCCAUGUUUGAUGCAAUUAAAAAGAUCAAAUGGGGGAUGGAUUCUCAGCCAUGAUAACCAGGUGUAAAGAAGACCCAAGUCCAUAGAGUCGCGUUUGUCAGCAAAGCGAAUAACAAGGGGAAGAAGGGGAAUUGGGAUUUGAGAGUCAAAUCUUGAGUUUCAAAUUCCUUUCUUUCAAAAGAGGAGACGAAGACAUGCAUUGAGGAGUACAAGUUAAAAAAAACAUCUGAGAUGCAUGAGGAUAAAAACGGACAGCUGGAUGAGGGACCUCCUGGGGGAAGAGAAAGAAAACAAAAAGCUAAUUGCUGUGAUCUUCGGGUCAAACUUGAGGGGUAAUGGCAGAAUAACUAAAGCCCAAGGGGAACCACAGCUGAGCAAUAUAGAAGUCUCCAAGUGAAAUAGGACAAAAGAGCAAAUUGUCAUAAAAGAUGGGGGGUCAAACCCUCAGACAAUGCACUAAAGAAAUUUCUGACCUAUCAACUAGAUGGUAGGAUAGGGGCCUACCAUGGUGGUCACGGGUGACGAGGAAUUAGGGUUCGAUUUCGGAGAGGUGGCCUGGGAAAUGGCGACCACUUCCAAGGAAGGCAGCAGGCGCGUAAAUUACUCGGUGCUAAUACAGCGAGGUAGUGACGACAAAUACCAAUGCUUUACCACCCUUUACCGGGUGGGAGCAAUUGGAAUGGGCACAAUGUAAAGAGGUGUGCGAGUAACGAUUGGAGGGAAAGUCUGGUGCCAGCAGCCGCGGUAAUUCCAGCUCCAAGAGUGUAUACUAAAGUUGUUGCGGUUAAAAAGCUCGUAGUCAAUGUUGGGGACUUUAAUUGAAGAUCUGUCUCUCACGAGAUUGGUUUUUGAUUGUUAAUGUCAAAAUGAUAUUAAGAUGGUCAUUUAAAGAAGUGAUUGGAUUGAAAUGAAGGAAAAGGGGAGGAGUCAAAUCCUUUUCUUUUUUUUCAAAUUGAUUAAUCAUUUCGAAAUGAUGGCUGUCAGGUCUCAUUUGAGUUUGGAUUAGUUAUUACACUUCUUAAAUGAAGAUUUUGUAAUUAUAACCUCUUUUUGUGUGUUUUUGAAAGAAGAUACACAGACAGAGAGGGAAACUACCAAAUCAAUUACUUUGAAUAAAAUAAAAUGUUCAAAGCAGGUCAGUGAUGGCCGGAAUAAAUUAGCAUAGGAUAAUAAGAAAACAAAACGAGAGGAGAGAGUGGUACACCAAAUAAAACAACAGAGCCUGAGUUUACUGAUUGGUUUCUCAGGGAUGCUUUUCUGGAUGACAACUUGAGCCAGGAAAAUGAGAAAAAUGAUACAACCUGGUUUGAGCAUCUUGAAGAGAACAGUGGUCUACGAAAUAAAUAGAAGAUUACAGAAUGUUGUUUUAGAUACACUCUCAAACUCUUGAGUAACAAGUGUGUAUUAGGAACAGUUGGGGUGGUUUAUAUUUAAUAGCGAGAGGUGAAAUUCUAUGACCUAUUCAAGAUAAACUAAAGCGAAAGCAUUCCACGAGGAUGUUUUCAUUGAUCAAGAACGAAAGUUAGGGGAUCGAAGACGAUCAGAUACCGUCGUAGUCCUGACUAUAAACUAUGCCGACCAGGGAUUGAAGAUAGUCGUAAAGAAGGGAAGGAUAGGAAGGGGGAUUAAUUUUCCCUUUCUUGUUCAUCUCUUUCAAACAAAAGAUUAUUGGACUGCUUCAGCACCUCAGAGAGAAAUCAAAGAGUGUUUGGGCUUCGGGGGAAGUAUGGUCGCAAGGCUGAAACUUAAAGGAAUUGACGGAAGGGCACUACCAGGAGUGGAGCCUGCGGCUCAAUUUGACUCAACACGGGGAAACUUACCAGGUCCAGACAGUAGGAGGAUAGACAGAUUGAGAGCUCUUUCUUGAUUUGCUGGGUGGUGGUGCAUGGCCGUUCUUAGUUGGUGGUGUGAAUUGUCUGGUCAAUUCCGAUAACGAACGAGACCUUAACUUGAUAAAUAAGUUUAAUCAAAGUGCAAGAGGGGAUCACAGUCAAAUGUGAGCUCUCUUUUGCAUUCGAUCCAAGAAACUCGGAGUGAUGAAAUAAGGCAUUCCGAGUGUAAACUUCUUAAAGGGACUAUUUGCGUUUUAAAACCAGCGAAUGGAAGUUUGAGGCAAUAACAGGUCUGUGAUGCCCUUUGAUGUCCUGGGCUGCACGCGCGCUACAAUGAUUGAAACAGAGAGUUUUUAAUGGUUGCCUUUGCUUGGUUGGGGCCUCACGGUCUCGAUCAGGCAGAGAGCCAUUCCAAAGUCGAAAGACUUGAGGGAACCUUAAGAAAGUCAAUCAUGAUUGGGAUAGAUCAUUGCAAUUAUUGGUCUUGAACGAGGAAUUCCUCGUAAGUAUGAGUCAACAGCUCAUGCUGAAUACGUCCCUGCCCUUUGUUCACACCGCCCGUCGCUCUUACCGAUUGGAUGAUCCGGUGAAAAUUCUGGAUGCUUUGCAAUGUCAAAGUUGUGAGGCAGAAAUUAUUUAAACCUUAUUAUCUAGAGGAAGGAGAAGUCGUAACAAGGUAUCC